AAUAAUUGAUUUGGAUUAUCAACCAUCAGAAGUUAUCAUCAGAAGUUAUCAUUAUAGAAGACGAUGAUUUUGAGGACCAACAGACCGCAGGUGUAUCUUUACUCAGUCCCACGCCAUCAAGAUACUUUAGACCUGACAACCCCCAGACAAGAGUACCCGAGGCAUUAUUGGCUCUACCCUUGAAUGACUUUGAGGGUAUUGAAAACAACGAUAUUCUACCGUUCUGUACGGCCGGCUUUGACAAAACUCAAAACAGCCCAAGAAUCUAAGAUUUGUCACACAUAUACACACCUCCAAGCAUCCCUAGGCAUUCAGUAUAUAAUUGGGCAGGGCUCCCCAGAACCGUAGUUCAAGUACACUGAGCGGCGUCACCUCUGACGAGAAGGACGACUGGUCUGAAAACGAUUUGAUUGACGAGCAUGCUCUUUAUGGAUACGACUCCGAUCUUGCCGAGUUUAUACAUCAAGAGGACAACGGGGUAGGAAACACAACAUCGAGGACUCCUCUGAAAAACAGGCAUCAAACAACCAAAGGCCUAUACAAACAAAGAAGACCCAAUACAACAAGAGGAAGAGGAGGAAGAGGACGCUGAUGACAUACUGAGUAAAACAUCUAAACCGGUUGAUACAUUCAAUGCUGUUAAUGUCAAGGAUGCUGAGGUCAAUGAUGGUGCUGAUGAAGGGUUGAGCUAUGAUGAGGAUGAUGUGUUGAUGUAUGAUGCGGCUAAACAGCUUGAUACAAUCAAUUCUGAGGUAGAGCCUAUACUGAUUGAAGAUGGCAUUAAUGAGGACACUGAUCAUGAUAUAGAUCUUCAAGAUAGGUUUCUCACAGCCAUUUACAGGGCUCUAAAAGCCAGAGAGGUCCAGCUACACAAACGUAUGGUUGCUUUACUAAGACGGCAGUACAGCCAAGACCUAUCCUUCUGGCAGAAAACCAUGCCAAGCUUGAUAAGUGUCAAUCUGAUUAAAAAAACGCCCAAACAAACGAUAAAAGCCGUAUGUAACAUGGAUACUUCUAGAAUACCGCCAGAACUUAUCUCCUUAAUUAACCAAAUUAAUGAGAGCACCCCUCCGUCAACACCACCCCCCACACAACACCCCCACCUCCUAUA